rnacentral:rRNA from 1 species
AUUGAACGCUGGCGGCAGGCCUAACACAUGCAAGUCGGGCGAGCGGCGGACGGGUGAGUAAUGUAUGGGAAAAUGCCUGAAGGAGGGGGAUAACUGCUGGAAACGGUAGCUAAUACCGCAUCCCAUCGGCUGUGCCCAGAUGUGAUUAUCUAGUAGGUGGGGUAAAGGCUCACCUAGGCGACGAGCCCUAGCUGGUCUGAGAGGAUGACCAGCCACACUGGAACUGAGACACGGUCCAGACGCCGACGAGAGGCAGCAGUGGGGAAUAUUGCACAAUGGGCGCAAGCCUGAUGCAGACAUGCCGCGUGUAUGAAGAAGGCCUUCGGGUUGUAAAGUACUUUCAGCGGGGAGGCGUUACCCGCAGAAGAAGCACCGGCUAACUCCGUGCCAGCCGCCGCGGUAAUAC